GCCCCUGUAGCUCACCAGGUAGAGCAUCGCACUUGUAAUGCGGAGGUAGCCGGUUCGAGUCCGGCCGGGGGCUCCA
rnacentral:tRNA from 1 species